CCAACAGCACAGAAUUACUGGGCGUAAGCGCCCGCAGGCGGUCCGUUACGUUCAAGGUGACAGUUGUCGGCUUAACCGGCAGAGUACCUUGAAAACCGGCGGACUUGAGGACCAGAGAGGGACCUGGAAUUCCGGGUGUAGCAGUGACAUGCGUAGAUACCUGGAGGAAUACCAAAGGCGAAGGCAGGGUCCUGGCUGGUACCUGACGCUCAGGGGCGAAAGCUAGGGGAGCGAACGGGAUUAGAUACCCCGGUAGUCCUAGCUGUAAACGAUGACCACUAGAUGCGCGGGGUUCGACCCCCUGCGUGCCGUAGUUAACACGAUAAGUGGUCCGCCUGGGGAGUACGGUCGCAAGAUUAAAACUCAAAGGAAUUGACGGGGACCCGCACAAGCAGCGGAGCGUGUGGUUUAAUUCGACGCGACACGAAGAACCUUACCAGGGCUUGACAUGCAGUCGCACCAUCCAGAGAUGGAUGUGCCCGCAAGGGACGGCUGCACAGGUGCUGCAUGGCUGUCGUCAGCUCGUGCCGUGAGGUGUUGGGUUAAGUCCCGCAACGAGCGCAACCCUUAUCGUCAGUUACAAUGUCUGACGAGACUGCCACUGGAAAGUGGAGGAAGGUGGGGAUGACGUCAAGUCAGCACGGCCCUUACGUCCUGGGCUACACACACGCUACAAUGGCCGAGACAAAGAGUGGCGAACCCGCAAGGGGGAGCGAAUCUUAGCAAACUCGGUCUCAGUACAGAUUGCAGGCUGCAACCCGCCUGCAUGAAGUCGGAGUUGCUAGUAACCGUGAGUCAGCAUAUCACGGUGAAUACGUUCCCGGGUCUUGUACACACCGCCCGUCACACCACGAAAGUCGGCAACACCUGAAGCCGCCGGACUAACCCGAACCUUCGGGAGGUAGGCGUCGAGGGUGAGGUCGGUGAUUGGGGGUGAAGUCGUAACAAGGUAACC
rnacentral:rRNA from 1 species